UACGGGGGGGGCAAGCGUUGUUCGGAAUUACUGGGCGUAAAGGGCUUGUAGGCGGCCAACUAAGUCCGACGUGAAAUCCCUCGGCUUAACCGGGGAACUGCGUCUGAUACUGGAUGGCUUGAGGUUGGGAGAGGGAUGCGGAAUUCCAGGUGUAGCGGUGAAAUGCGUAGAUAUCUGGAGGAACACCGGUGGCGAAGGCGGCAUCCUGGACCAAUUCUGACGCUGAGGAGCGAAAGCCAGGGGAGCAAACGGG
rnacentral:rRNA from 1 species